rnacentral:rRNA from 1 species
UACGUAGGGUGCGAGCGUUAAUCGGAAUUACUGGGCGUAAAGCGUGCGCAGGCGGUUGUGCAAGACAGAUGUGAAAUCCCCGGGCUCAACCUGGGAAUUGCACUUGUGACUGCACGGCUAGAGUGUGUCAGAGGGGGGUAGAAUUCCACGUGUAGCAGUGAAAUGCGUAGAGAUGUGGAGGAAUACCGAUGGCGAAGGCAGCCCCCCUGGGAUAACACUGACGCUCAUGCACGAAAGCGUGGGGAGCAAACAGG